AUUGAGGAUCCUAAUUGUGCUGCA
rnacentral:siRNA from 1 species